UUCCUACUCUCUCCGUUCCGAAUUACUUGUUGCAGGUAUGGAUGUAUUUAGAUGUAUUUUAGUUCUAAAUACAUCCAUUUCUACUACGAAUAAUUUGGAACGGAGGAAGUACAAA
rfam:Triticum urartu cultivar G1812 contig845237, whole genome shotgun sequence.